rnacentral:rRNA from 1 species
AUACGGAGGGUGCGAGCGUUGUUCGGAAUUACUGGGCGUAAAGAGCGUGUAGGCGGCUAGCUAAGUCUGGUGUGAAAGCCCGGGGCUUACCCCCGGAAGUGCGCUGGAAACUGGUCAGCUAGAGUAUGGGAGAGGAAAGCGGAAUUCCUGGUGUAGCGGUGAAAUGCGUAGAUAUCAGGAGGAACACCGGCGGCGAAGGCGGCUUUCUGGACCAAUACUGACGCUGAGACGCGAAAGCGUGGGGAGCAAACAGGAUUAGAAACCCGAGUAGUCC